rnacentral:lncRNA from 1 species
CAGUAAGACCCCUUUUUGGCCCCAAAAUAUAGCAGUUUUAGAAAAUUGUGAAAAUGUAAUCUUUAAGCUAUAUUUUGGAAAGCAAAAUGCUUCUGCUACAUAAAUAUGAGCUGUUUUUGACAAUACAAUGCGCAAAUAUCGCGUUCUGGCAUCAUUAAGUCGUGCUAAAUUACUGAAAUCUUCAAAAUUUUAACAUUUUGGUUAAUUUUUAGACGGUUUCCGUCUAAAAUGAAAGUGGCUGCAUUCGUGUUCAUUCAUAAUAUUGAAAUGUAAGUUGUAUUUGAUGAUAAUACACAACAUAUAUAAAGGUUGAGGAUGAACACGGAUGCGGCCACUUUCAUUUUUGGCAAAAACAAUCUGAAAAGUGACGUAUUUUGGCAUAUUUGAUAGAUUUUUCAUAUUUACGCUUGAAUCAGAGCGUUUUUAAGGACUAAAUCAGUUAAAAUCUUUCACAUUAACUAAUCGAAUCAAUUGAAAUAGACACUUAAGUGUUUAAAAAGUGGCCAAAAACUUUCGUUAGAUGAACCUGAAAUUUGAGGCCAAAAUCGGUCCUUACC